AGUGGGACCCUGUGAACCACAUGAGGUUCAACAAGUCCAGGUGCAAGGUGCUGAACCUGAGCCAGGGCAAUCCCAGACAGGAGUAAAGACUGGGAGAAGAACUCAUUGAGAGCAGCCCUGUGGAGAAGGACUUGGAGGUUGUGGAGGAUGAGAGGCUGGA